rnacentral:rRNA from 1 species
UACGUAGGGGGCAAGCGUUGUCCGGAAUCAUUGGGCGUAAAGAGCGUGUAGGCGGCCAUGUAGGUCCGGUGUGAAAACUCGAGGCUUAACCUCGAGAUGUCAUCGGAAACCAUUUGGCUAGAGUCCGGAAGAGGAGAGUGGAAUUCCCGGUGUAGCGGUGAAAUGCGCAGAUAUCGGGAAGAACACCCGUGGCGAAGGCGGCUCUCUGGGACGGUACUGACGCUGAGACGCGAAAGCGUGGGGAGCGAACAGG